rnacentral:rRNA from 1 species
AUUGAACGCUGGCGGCAGGCCUAACACAUGCAAGUCGAACGGUAACAGGAAACAGCUUGCUGUUUCGCUGACGAGUGGCGGACGGGUGAGUAAUGUCUGGGAAACUGCCUGAUGGAGGGGGAUAACUACUGGAAACGGUAGCUAAUACCGCAUAACGUCGCAAGACCAAAGAGGGGGACCUUCGGGCCUCUUGCCAUCGGAUGUGCCCAGAUGGGAUUAGCUAGUAGGUGGGGUAACGGCUCACCUAGGCGACGAUCCCUAGCUGGUCUGAGAGGAUGACCAGCCACACUGGAACUGAGACGCGGUCCAGACUCCUACGGGAGGCAGCAGUGGGGAAUAUUGCACAAUGGGCGCAAGCCUGAUGCAGCCAUGCCGCGUGUAUGAAGAAGGCCUUCGGGUUGUAAAGUACUUUCAGCGGGGAUGAAGGGAGUAAAGUUAAUACCUUUGCUCAUUGACGUUACCCGCAGAAGAAGCACCGGCUAACUCCGUG